rnacentral:rRNA from 1 species
GCCUGGUAUCCUCGCUAGAACGGAACCACACCAAUCCAUCCCGAACUUGGUUGUUAAACGUUUUAGGAGUCACAAUACUUAAGCCGGGGGGCUUUGGGAAGAUAGCUUGAUGCC